CGGGGCGUAGCGCAGCCUGGCUAGCGCGCCUGCUUUGGGAGCAGGAGGUCGGGAGUUCGAAUCUCCCCGCCCCGA
rnacentral:tRNA from 3 species